rnacentral:snoRNA from 1 species
AUGGAUGUGAUGAUUAUUUCCCCAGAUGAUCGACGAUGAUUAUACUGUGCGAAUUUUUUUUCUCUCUUAGAGAGAAUCCAAGCCAAUACUCUGAUCCAU